GACGAACGCUGGCGGCGUGCUUAACACAUGCAAGUCGAACGGAAAGGCCCUGCUUUUGUGGGGUGCUCGAGUGGCGAACGGGUGAGUAACACGUGAGUAACCUGCCCUUGACUUUGGGAUAACUUCAGGAAACUGGGGCUAAUACCGGAUAGGAGCUCCUGCCGCAUGGUGGGGGUUGGAAAGUUUCGGCGGUUGGGGAUGGACUCGCGGCUUAUCAGCUUGUUGGUGGGGUAGUGGCUUACCAAGGCUUUGACGGGUAGCCGGCCUGGGAGGGUGACCGGCCACAUUGGGACUGAGAUACGGCCCAGACUCCUACGGGAGGCAGCAGUGGGGAAUAUUGCACAGUGGGCGGAAGCCUGAUGCAGCAACGCCGCGUGCGGGAUGACGGCCUUCGGGUUGUAAACUGCUUUCGCCUGUGACGAAGCGUGAGUGACGGUAAUGGGUAAAGAAGCACCGGCUAACUACGUG
rnacentral:rRNA from 1 species